rnacentral:piRNA from 1 species
UAUCAUGAUGUGCAGCUCUGUU